rnacentral:rRNA from 1 species
AUAUCAAUAAGCGGAGGAAAAGAAACCAACUGGGAUUGCCCUAGUAACGGCGAGUGAAGCGGCAAUAGCUCAAAUUUGAAAUCCCACGGCCCCCCUUGGGGAGUGCGAGUUGUAAUUUAGAGAGGAUGCUUCGGACCUGAACGGCGGUCUAAGUCCCUUGGAACAGGGCGCCAGAGAGGGUGAGAGCCCCGUCUUCGGCCGCGAGUCCCGUCCGUGUGAAGCGCCUUCGACGAGUCGCGUUGUUUGGGAAUGCAGCGCUAAAUGGGUGGUAAGUUUCAUCUAAAGCUAAAUAUCAGUCAGAGACCGAUAGAGAACAAGUAGAGUGAUCGAAAGGUGAAAAGAACUUUGAAAAGAGAGUUAAACAGAACGUGAAAUUGUUGAAAGGGAAGCGCUUGCAGCCAGACUUGGGGACGGAGAUAGAUUACCAAAGGAUCACCCCGACAGCCAAGCUUCGGGGCCCUGCGGGUCUUCUGUAGGAGUAUUUAACGAAAAGCCCCGCUCUCCAGGCCAGCACGGGUUCGGGCAGCCAGAUAAAGGCCCCCGGGAAUGUAUCAGCCCCUCCGGGGGUCUUGACUUAUAGCCCGCGGGCGGCAUGUGGCUCGCCCGGACCGAGCAGACCAACUGCGCGGAUGCUAGGCGUAAUGGCUGUAAGCGACCCGUCUUGAAACACGGGCCAAGGAGUCUAACAUCUAUGCGAGUGUUCGGGUGGGCAAAACCCUUGCGCGUAAUGAAAGUGAACGGAGGUAGGAGACCCGCUGUGCGGGUUGCACUAUCGGCCGAUCCUCAUGACAAAACGGAUGGAUUUGAGCUAGAGCAUAGCUGUUGGGACCCGAAAGAUGGCGAACUAUGCGUGUAUAGGGUGAAGUCAGUGGAAACACUGAUGGAGGCCCGCAGCGGUUCUGACGUGCAAAUCGAUCGUCAAAUAUGCG